GCUCCCGUAGGCUAAUUGGAUAAACCACUAGGCUACGAACCUGGUAUUCCUGGUUCAAGUCCAGGCGGGAGUA
rnacentral:tRNA from 1 species